GUUGCGCAAGGUGAUGGUGUUCCACCUUUCCCAACCGCCCCGCCUGGCCGGGGCUGAUGACGCCUGAUAUCGC
rnacentral:ncRNA from 1 species